UACGUAGGUGACCAGCGUUGUCCGGAUUUACUGGGCGUAGAGGGCGCGUAGGCGGCUUGGCAAGUGGAAGGUGAAAUCCCUCGGCUUAACCGAGGAACUGCCCUCCAGACUGCUUUGCUUGAGGCCGGGAGAGGUGAGUGGAAUUCCCAGUGUAGCGGUGAAAUGCGUAGAUAUUGGGAGGAACACCAGUGGCGAAGGCGGCUCACUGGACCGGUUCUGACGCUGAGGCGCGAAAGCGUGGGGAGCAAACGGG
rnacentral:rRNA from 1 species